AUUUAACUGAUGAGUCCUAAAUAGGACGAAACUCGCGUCCUGGAU
rnacentral:hammerhead_ribozyme from 1 species